AGGGGUUUGGUGCAAUGGUAGCAUGCCGGUCUCCAAAAUCGUUGAUGGGGGUUCGAAUCCCUCAACCCCUGCCA
rnacentral:tRNA from 1 species